UUGCUUCCCUGGCCAUUCAGAUUUCUCCUGGGAGCCUGUGUUAGUAAAUGACUUACACGCAAUUCCCUGUUUCAGGCUCUGCUUCCAGGACACCAGCCUAGGUCAAGGAGAGAAGCCAAGGAGCCUUCUUAGACUGAAAGCAAGGAAGCUCAGAAGUGUGGAAAAUUACAACCAAUCCAAGAAACCAUGUGGAAGAUUGACCAGAGGGGCAAUGCUAAAGGCAGAAUGGUUAUUGAAAUGGCCUGGAGAAGCACUAUUGAGGAACUGAAAUGGGAAAGGAACAGUCGGAAUAGAAGAGAAGAGGUGCUCACCUCACCACUCUGAUUGCAAGAAUGAGUCUGUGACUGAGACCCGGCCCAUCAGAGUAAAGCAUCCGCUGGUAACACAAGUAAUUUAGGAAUGUCCACAUAACCCAAACCACACAAACUGGAAGCCCUCUCUAAGCAUUUUCUGCUGGAACUAAGAACAAAGAGUUUUUUUAACUCUUGCAUGUAGUAAAUUAUAAGAAUAUGACUCAACAUGAUAGCACAUUUACUGUCACAUGGAUAAACACAUGAGAAUAAAGAUGAUUUUGAGAGAAAAGUGGUGAUGAGAAGUAGACAGAAAGAUAUCUAGCAACAUCAAGUCAUUUAUUCCUGUCUCAGAUAUAACUGGAUUUCUCUAGUUAAUAUGUAUAAUGUAAGAGAGUUUUUGUUUAUUUGUUUGUUUGCUUAAGUUAGAUCAGGUUGAGAUUUUGACACUCCAAACUCAAAGAACCCUGACUAGCAAUUGGAAUUGAUACCAGAAGUGGGGACAACAAUUUUGAAAACCAAAAUGUGGGACUGGGUUUUGUCAAGAUGAGAUAGGGGAAUCCUCAUUAAUCACUCUCCACUCCCCUGAUCAUCUUCAGCUAGGAAAUAUCUUGUUGAAAAGUAGAACAGCAUUGGGUUACGGGUUUCUUGUGGUAUCUUGAAACUUCAACCAUGUGCCCAACAAAACCAGAAUAUCAGUGACUUAGUAGAAAAAUGUGAUGAUAUUGGACUGUAGGCUCUGUUCUGCAUUCUUCAGUAAAUUUCUACAACAAAAAGACAAAUUGAUUUACCUGAAAUCACAGAGAAAUCUGUAUGCACCUCUACAUAAAAAAUUCUUUCUACACAGCCUCAGCAAUGCUAAACUGGAAAGGUUAAGGCAGGAAAGUCCUCUGUAGAAUUGGAAAACUAAUUGUUUUACCCCGUCAUAAAGUUAGUAUAAGCAAAAACAGGGCAGUGAGAAAAGUGAAAGAAGAUUAGAUUCUUCCCUGCCUACCCAAGGUAAUCAUUCCCUAUGGCCUAAGCAACUUGGAUGCAGUGGUGGGCAGGAAAGGGAAUUAGCUUUAACUUAUCAUCCUAUCCUUUCUUUCACUUUACUCUGAGGUAGGAGUCAAGACAGAAGCCAUUAAUCUGAUGGUCAAAAUGUCAGGCCUAUUGAUAAGCAAUCAAAGGGGUAUGGUACUUAUUUAAAGAUAAUGACCAGACAUAUAUUCUUGCAUCAGACUUCCAGACUAGUAUUUUAAAGAAUACUUAAGGCUAGAUAAACACCAAGUAUCAAAAAAAGAGGUUUGGAUGGCACAUUCCCUAAGACUGUCCUCAGGCUCAUUCAAGGAUAUUCAGCAAAGAUUCAACCAUAGAAUGGGAUUUCUUCUCACUGUACAACACCUUUUAUGAAUGGCCCAGGAUGAUGCCAGGAUGUUUCAGGGUCAGCCUGUAUGUGUAUUUGGAACUUUUCUGCUACAACCAUUGAGGGAUGGUCUCCUCUGUUCUCAAGAGUCUUGCAGCUUCAAACAUAAAUCCUUAAACCAUUCGGUGGCCAGUGUACCUGUUUGAGGAAGACGAAAUCAAGGGGGAAGAGAAAAGUUUGGGAUUGUGAGCUCAGCUUCUGAGAUCCUUUGUCACCAAGAAUCCUCAGUGGUCUGGACUGCAAACACGGACCUCCACAGGGGUUGACAUUUGUCUCUGCCAGGAACCCAAAGGUAUUAUCAGCCCCAGAUGACUUUAC
rnacentral:lncRNA from 10 species